CACGUAGGGUGCGAGCGUUGUCCGGAAUUAUUGGGCGUAAAGAGCUCGUAGGCGGUGUGUCGCGUCGGCCGUGAAAACCUGCAGCUUAACUGUGGGCUUGCGGUCGAUACGGGCAUCACUGGAGUUCGGCAGGGGAGACUGGAAUUCCUGGUGUAGCGGUGAAAUGCGCAGAUAUCAGGGAGGGAACACCGGUGGGCGAAGGCGGGUCUCUGGGACGGUACUGACG
rnacentral:rRNA from 1 species